rnacentral:rRNA from 1 species
UACGGAGGGAGCUAGCGUUGUUCGGAAUUACUGGGCGUAAAGCGCACGUAGGCGGCUUUGUAAGUUAGAGGUGAAAGCCCGGGGCUCAACCCCGGAAUUGCCUUUAAGACUGCAUCGCUUGAAUCCAGGAGAGGUGAGUGGAAUUCCGAGUGUAGAGGUGAAAUUCGUAGAUAUUCGGAAGAACACCAGUGGCGAAGGCGACUUACUGGAUACAUAUUGACGCUGAGGUGCGAAAGCGUGGGGAGCAAACAGG